rnacentral:rRNA from 1 species
GAUGAACGCUGGCGGUCUGCUUAACACAUGCAAGUCGAACGGAAGUAGCAGUACUUUAGUGGCGGACGGGUGAGUAACACGUAAGAAUCUGCCUCCAGGACGGGAAAAACAGUUGGAAACGACUGCUAAUUCCGGAUGAGCCGAAAGGUAAAAAGAAAUUCGCCUGGAGAUGAGCUUGCGGCUGAUUAGCUAGUUGGUAGGGUAAGAGCCUACCAAGGCGACGAUCAGUAGCUGGUCUGAGAGGAUGAGCAGCCACACUGGGACUGAGACACGGCCCAGACUCCUACGGGAGGCAGCAGUGGGGAAUUUUCCGCAAUGGGCGAAAGCCUGACGGAGCAAGACCGCGUGGGGGAGGAAGGUUCUUGGAUUGUCAACCCCUUUUCUCAGGGAAGAAGAUCUGACGGUACCUGAGGAAUCAGCAUCGGCUAACUCCGUGCCAGCCGCCGCGGUAACAC